UACGAAGGGGGGCUAGCGUUGCUCGGAAUCACUGGGCGUAAAGCGCACGUAGGCGGACUCUUAAGUCGGUGGUGAAAUCCUGGAGCUCAACUCCAGAACUGCCUUCGAUACUGAGAGUCUCGAGUCCGGGAGAGGUGAGUGGAACUGCGAGUGUAGAGGUGAAAUUCGUAGAUAUUCGCAAGAACACCAGUGGCGAAGGCGGCUCACUGGCCCGGUACUGACGCUGAGGUGCGAAAGCGUGGGGAGCAACAGG
rnacentral:rRNA from 1 species